UAACCAUUUUCAAAAGAUUGAGUCCCUUGAACAAUUUUAUAAACUUGAAACCAGAUUAAAAGUCAGCCGGGAGUACUGUAAAUUGCUUUUUCACCUCAAGAAAGCAUGCGAAAAAAAUGUUAAAGAAAAUACAAAAAUUGUUAUGGCAGAAUUAUGGAGCAUCUUGUUAAGCCCAAGUUCAAUAUAAAAAGCAAAAUUCGUCAUGAUAUAAAAAAGAAGUCAUCCAGCUAAUGCACGAGAGGUCGACGAAAGUAAACAACAAAUCAAAUAGGAAGCAUUUUAAAGUUCUCUCCAUUGAACAAUUAUUUAUUUUUGAGUUUUUUUGUAAACUUAUAA